UUGAUAAGGGCGGGACUACACCCGCCUAUGCAGGGCUACAACCUGGCGCCUACCUCGGCCACCU
rnacentral:tRNA from 1 species